rnacentral:rRNA from 1 species
UACGUAGGGGGCUAGCGUUAUCCGGAAUUACUGGGCGUAAAGGGUGCGUAGGUGGUUUAUUAAGUCUGGUGUAAAGGCAGUGGCUCAACCAUUGUAUGCAUUGGAAACUAGUAGACUUGAGUGCAGGAGAGGAGAGUGGAAUUCCAUGUGUAGCGGUGAAAUGCGUAGAUAUAUGGAGGAACACCGGUGGCGAAAGCGGCUCUCUGGCCUGUAACUGACACUGAGGCUCGAAAGCGUGGGGAGCAAACAGG